CCCACACGUCCUUCCCUACCUUAGGUGCCAGGCCCUCCAAAGAAACCUGAGGAGGAGGACAUCUACCUGGAGUGUGAGCCCGAUCCAGUCCUGGCCUUGACCCAGACUCUGAGCUCCCAAGUCCUGAUGCCUCCAGUCCUUCUGCCAAGGAUGUCAGUGGUGCUCAGGCCCACCAUAACCCCCCAGGAAGUUCAGAAUGGAGCAGCAGAUGCCACUGCUAAAGCAGGAAAGAGACCGCCUCUUCCCUCUGCAGCCCCCUCCGGAAGCGCCUCAGCUGCCGAGGUGAGGAGGGGCUGGGCACGGGCUGGGCAGGAGGCCUGAGGGGACCAUAGCCUGAGCAUCUUCACCUGGCCCCCUCUGCUUUCCUUGUAUUCUCUCACCACCCUCCCCAACACACAUUUGCCUUCAGACACCCACUCCUGUUGCAGGUCCAGCUGACCACACUGUGCCUACAUGGGAGGUGACCACCCGAGAGCAAAGGCUGGGUGGGGCUUCCUGGCUGCUGCGGCCAGG